rnacentral:lncRNA from 1 species
AGGGUGAUAUGGAGUGGCAAUCCUAUGUGUGAUUCCAUAUUUCUUCAUUAAAAGCUCAAAUUGUCUAUUCGUGAAAUGCAUUCCUCUGUCCUUGAUUAUGGCUUUAGGGCAACCAAACCAACUUAUAAUAUUCCUUUGAAUAUACUUUAUUAGCACUUUAUGAUCAUUGGUCAUGUUGCCAUGGCUUCUAUCCACUUCGAAAUAUAAUCCACUGCCACCAAUAUG